CACGCAGGCGGUCUGUUAAGUCAGAUGUGAAAUCCCCGGGCUUAACCUGGGAACUGCAUUUGAAACUGGCAGGCUUGAGUCUCGUAGAGGGGGGUAGAAUUCCUAGUGUAGCGGUGAAAUGCGUAGAGAUCUGGAGGAAUACCGGUGGCGAAGGCGGCCCCCUGGACGAAGACUGACGCUCAUAUGCGAAAGCGUGGGGAUCAAACAGGAUUAGAUACCCGUGUA
rnacentral:rRNA from 1 species